GACGUAGGGCGCAAGCGUUGUCCGGAUUUAUUGGGCGUAAAGAGCUCGUAGGCGGCUCGUUGCGUCGGCUGUGAAAACCCGCAGCUCAACUGUGGGCUUGCAGCCGAUACGGGCGGGCUGGAGUUCGGUAGGGGAGACUGGAAUUCCUGGUGUAGCGGUGAAAUGCGCAGAUAUCAGGAGGAACACCGGUGGCGAAGGCGGGUCACUGGACCGGAACUGACGCUGAUGCGCGAAAGCGUGGGGAGCAAACGGG
rnacentral:rRNA from 1 species